rnacentral:rRNA from 1 species
UACGAGAGGCCCAAACGUUAUUCGGAAUUACUGGGCUUAAAGAGUUCGUAGGCGGCCUGAAAAGUAGGGUGUGAAAGCCCUCGGCUCAACCGAGGAAUAGCGCUCUAAACUGUCGUGCUAGAGGAAGCUAGAGGUGAGCGGAACUGAUGGUGGAGCGGUGAAAUGCGUUGAUAUCAUCAGGAACACCGGAGGCGAAGGCGGCUCACUGGGGCUUUUCUGACGCUGAGGAACGAAAGCCAGGGUAGCGAACGGG